rnacentral:rRNA from 1 species
AGUGAACGCUGGCGGUAGGCCUAAUACAUGCAAGUCGAACGGCAGCACAGGAGAGCUUGCUCUCUGGGUGGCGAGUGGCGGACGGGUGAGGAAUACAUCGGAAUCUACUCUGUCGUGGAGGAUAACGUAGGGAAACUUACGCUAAUACCGCAUACGACCUACGGGUGAAAGCAGGGGACCUUCGGGCCUUGCGCGAUUGAAUGAGCCGAUGUCGGAUUAGCUAGUUGGCGGGGUAAAGGCCCACCAAGGCGACGAUCCGUAGCUGGUCUGAGAGUAUGAUCAGCCACACUGGAACUGAGACACGGUCCAGACUCCUACGGGAGGCAGCAGUGGGGAAUAUUGGACAAUGGGCGCAAGCCUGAUCCAGCCAUACCGCGUGGGUGAAGAAGGCCUUCGGGUUGUAAAGCCCUUUUGUUGGGAAAGAAAUCCAGCUGGCUAAUACCCGGUUGGGAUGACGGUACCCAAAGAAUAAGCACCGGCUAACUUCGUGCCAGCAGCCGCCGUAA